rnacentral:rRNA from 1 species
CAUGCAAGUCGAGCGGUAAGGCCCUUCGGGGUACACGAGCGGCGAACGGGUGAGUAACACGUGGGUAACCUGCCCUAUACUCUGGGAUAAGCCUGGGAAACUAGGUCUAAUACCGGAUACGACACUGAGACGCAUGUUUCGGUGUGGAAAGUUCCGGCGGUAUGGGAUGGACCCGCGGCCUAUCAGCUUGUUGGUGGGGUAAUGGCCUACCAAGGCGACGACGGGUAGCCGGCCUGAGAGGGCGACCGGCCACACUGGGACUGAGACACGGCCCAGACUCCUACGGGAGGCAGCAGUGGGGAAUAUUGCACAAUGGGCGAAAGCCUGAUGCAGCGACGCCGCGUGAGGGAUGACGGCCUUCGGGUGUAACCUCUUUCAGCAGGGACGAAGCAGCAAGUGACGGUACUGCAGAGAAGCCCGCCUAACUACGUGACCAGCAGCCGCGGUAAUACGUAGGGUGCGAGCGUGUCCGAUAUUGGGCGUAAAGAGCUCGUAGGCGGUUGUUGCGUCGACCGUGAAAACCUGGGGCUUAACCCUGGGCUUGCGGUCGAUACGGGCAGACUUGAGUUCGGCAGGGGAGACUGGAAUUCUGGUGUAGCGGUGAAAUGCGCAGAUAUCAGGAGGAACACCGGUGGCGAAGGCGGGUCUCUGGGCCGAUACUGACGCUGAGGAGCGAAAGCGUGGGGAGCGAACAGGAUUAGAUACCCUGGUAGUCCACGCCGUAAACGGUGGGUGCUAGGUGUGGGGGACUUCCACGUCCUCCGUGCCGCAGCUAACGCAUUAAGCACCCCGCCUGGGGAGUACGGCCGCAAGGCUAAAACUCAAAGGAAUUGACGGGGGCCCGCACAAGCGGCGGAGCAUGUGGAUUAAUUCGAUGCAACGCGAAGAACCUUACCUGGGUUUGACAUGCACAGGAAACCUAUAGAGAUAUAGGCCCCCUUGUGGUCUGGCACCAGGUGGUGCAUGGCUGUCGUCAGCUCGUGUCGUGAGAUGUUGGGUUAAGUCCCGCACGAGCGCAACCCUCGUUCCAUGUUGCCAGCACGUAAUGGUGGGGACUCAUGGGGAGACUGCCGGGGUCACUCGGAGGAAGGUGGGGGAUGAAGUCAAGUCAUCAUGCCCCUUAUGUCCAGGGCUUCACACAUGCUACAAUGGCCGGUACAAUGGGCUGCUAAACCGUGAGGUGGAGCGAAUCCCAUAAAGCCGGUCUCAGUUCGGAUCGGGGUCUGCAACUCGACCCCGUGAAGUCGGAGUCGCUAGUAAUCGCAGAUCAGCAACGCUGCGGUGAAUACGUUCCCGGGCCUUGUACACACCGCCCGUCACGUCACGAAAGUCGGUAACACCCGAAGCCGGUGGCCUAACCCGUAAGGGGAGGAGCUGUCGACGGGGCGACUGGCGAC